UCCACUUUGGUUUCACUAGUGUUGUCCCAUACGACCUCGCUAUUAGGGGACUUUUUACCGAACAUUUUCUUCACCGCCUUCACUACCUUCAAUUCGUCGAACCUAAGACUUAAACUGGCCGUUGCUAAAUCUUCCGGCUUCUUCGACAUUUCCGUCGCGGAAGAUCCUACCGAGCUUAGGAUCGAUAUCAGAUCCCUAUUAGAGCAGACCAUGCCCGCAGCACCGGAAACGGAUGCACUCGCGGCUCUUGGCAGUUCCGAGACGCGCUUUCGGAGAGAAGACGUCGGCGAAACCGACAGAGUGUGAAUGCCGCGGGUGUCAUGACCAGCCUUUCGCGUGCUCUUGGCGCGCCUUCUACUGGCAAAGAUGGGACGCUACUUGAACUAACACGAGAUGUUAGUUUUCCGAGAAGAUCACGAUAUCUCUGCGGGUGAGGAAGUUCGGCAACUUGUACCGCUGUAAUAUAAUUCCAAAUUACCCUGCGGAGAUACCGAGUUUACGACACGUCCCUGGCGAUUGAGCGCGGGAUGAAGCAAAUUUCUAUGUUAUUGCUUAAUAAUUUAUGAUUCCAAUUGAAAAAUAAGCUUCUUCGCGACCAUGCUAUAAGCUUCACCGACGAAGACGUGCUUCCUUAGCGAGGCUCCUGACGAACAAGAAAUGAAAACCAUAGCGACUCGAUUCGUCCGUAAUUUUAACUGUUAAUUUUCGCCUAAUUAAUAAUUGUUCUAACUCCAUCUAAAAAAGAAGAAAAAAAAAGUAAUUGAUGAAUCCACGUAUGCGUACAUUGUUAUAAAGAACGAUAUGAUGUGUAAAUAAUUAUAAGUUACAAAGAAUAAAAUAAUAAAUAAUACG
rnacentral:misc_RNA from 1 species